ACCCAUUAACAAUUGAAAAAUCGAAAACUCCCAGAGAAACUAAAACAAGAUACACCACAAUCCAAUAGGCUUUUAAAUCAAAGAAAUUAAACAGUAAAUCAAUUAAAAAAGGAUGGAACAGAAACAGCUGGGGUGAUCGAUCAUUGCAGAACAUUGAUUAGUACGUUUAGUUGUUUGUCUUUUCUGGCCGGUGAUGGACUUGGUUCCCCAAUAGAAGGCGAGCGAGAUUCAAGGAAAAAGAAGCAAAUAUAACACUGAAACAUUUACACAACUAAACGAAACACAUCAAUUAUGUCCACUAUCAGGAUGCAAAAGAUUAAACAAACCUUGUAUUUUGAGGGUUUGAGGUUGCCAAACUCACCCAUCAGAGUAGCUCAAACCUUUUGUUCUGUGUAGCUACCUAUACUUAUCGACUUCUCAUAUGAGAAAAAGAAAAGAGAUUAGGAAAACAGAAACUUUACAUUUGCAAUAAUCCUGUUUAAACAGUGAAAUACCUUUUUACUUUUUAUAGUCACUUCCAUCUAAAGAAAAACAAGCAAUGAACAUCCCUCAACAGAACUCUAUUUUCACUAAAAUCAUAUCCAACCUACUAACUGUUAUUGGAGAAAUGAGGUUUCUACAUGUUUCAGUCGGUGUAUCUCUACAUGUGUGUUACUGUAUGCUGUGAAGAUGUAGCAUUUAAAAAAUGAUACAUAUACAGAAGCACGACAAAAUUAUGCGACAAGGAAAAAUAUACAAUCCAUCAGGAAGGAAAAAGAACAAUAAACAAUGAAUACCAAAAAUAAAAUCUCAAAGUCAGCAAACCCUAUAAAUAAUGAUGUUUUAUACGACAAACUUCCAGCAUAUAGGUUCCCAUGGUUUCUUUCUAUAGCAUCAAAAGUGGCUAAUGUAAUUUGCGAAAAGCUAGCCCCAAAGGCGAGCUUUUGACCUUGUUUUUGCCCAACCCAUACAGGAAACUCCAGGUAUACUUUGUGUGCUUUACUCAAAUUGAUAGCAGCUUAAAAACUACUGGGAAUUAAAGUAACAAGACCUGAUCGAUACACACAAGAAAUUUGGUGCAUCUGAUUUUCAUUGCUGAUAUCCAAGACUUAGUAAUUAAUGUCUCUGAGUUUAAGUUUCUAACCAAAUGGUAAAGUAUCAACCUGAAAUUUCAGUUUCUAAGCUGUUGCCAUAAAGAUAGGCAUACAUAGAAAGCAAUUCGGCUCCUAAUAGACAAGCCUACAUUGCCUUAAUUUUCAAUUUCAACAGAAAAUGUUCAACAACAACAUCAAAAUGGCGUGCUUCUUAGACUCAGGCAACAACUAUCUUCAAAUUCCGUCAACGAAUUGUCUUGGAAUUAUGAUUUGCAUCCAAAAUGCAAUUCCCAGAAAUUAUAAAACAAAAAUCCAAAACAUCCAGCGUAAAUAGAAAGAUCAUUAACAUGAAAAGCAACUAGAUCUCAAAACUGGAUUCAAAGAUCACUCAAAUAAAUGCAAGAAAUUAGGGAAGAAAUAUGUAGGGGCAACCUGCCGACUCGUCAGAGCCUUGUUGGAGCUGAAAACCUAAUACGAGACGAAUCAAGAUCUCGUAGCGCGAGAUCGAGCAAAAAUUUCUCCGGCGAUCCGAUCUAAGAGGACGUCCAAGGCUGGGGAUCUUCGGAGCCGAAAUUGAAACCCUAGAUCCAGGUGCGAAGAAGAAUGCGUAGAACACAUUCGGAUUAGGGUUAAAGUUUGGGAUUGUGUUGAUGUAGAAGACGAAGAAUGAAGAGCAAUGCGUCGAACGAGGCCAUGGCCAUGGUAGAGUGAUGGGGGGUAGGGAAGGGUAGGUUUAGGGUCUGAGAAUUGAGACUUGGUCGCGUUGGUUGGUUCCGAUUCUUCAAACUCAAUUAACUUGUUUGUUUGGAGCGAUUUUAUUAUGUUUAGGGAUAUUCCUUACUAAUUCAUCCUAGCCGUUCAUAUCCUUGAAAAGAUCUGACGGCUGAGAAUACACCGCAUCAGCAUAUUGAGUUAUUAUUUUUUU
rnacentral:lncRNA from 1 species